UUUACGCAUAUCGACGCAGUGCACGUUGACAGAACAAACGGGAAAGACGCAGAAAGGGCUGGCAUGUAUGAGGUAACGGCACGCACGGCUGUUUCCUCCUGUCGUCACAAAUAUUGGCCGAAUCCCUCCGUUUUCACCCUGACAUCACCGCAGCUGUAACUGCAGCAGCAAAUCGCUUGGAGCGAUUCACACGCAUCCCCUUCCGACAAGUAUUUGCCUACACUUUUCUCUUUGCCUCAUAUCAACCCCAUGGCACCGUUUUCAGCAUGUAGUUUCUUGAGGGGCAUCAAACAUGUCGAUAAGGACCUGCGACUGAUGGCCCUGUUUGAUCUUCGGCGUCACGUGCAGAGCGCUGACGAGAACAGCAUCACCAACGAAGUGGUCGAUAAAGUGCUUUCCUGCCUUUCUCCCGACGAGCGGUGUGAGGAGGUUCAGAAUGAGGCCGCCAACGCGCUUCCAGACAUGGUGGUGAAGUGCAGCCAGAGAGACGUUAUUCUCCAGUACCUGUUGUCGACCGUCACGAAAACGCGUGUUUCGGAUGAUGGCGAUGGCGCCAACCUGCAGUACCUCAGUGGGAUGACUUUCAGGAAGUGCUGUACUGAGUUCGCCAGCGAGGCUCGCAGAAACGUUGCUUUCUGGCAAAAGCAAAUCGAUGUGGCUCGGCAUCUCUGCGUCCGCUGCGCAGCGCAACUUGAGGUGGACGACUUGGAGGACACUGCGCGUGAGAUUCUUUAUACCGCGGUGAACGCACUCGUGCCCGCCUACAAAGACGUACUAGGCGAGCGCGAUGCCCUUGUAAAGAUGGCGGUGAGGGACUUCCAGAAAACCAAUUCGAUCCGACACGCGAGCCUGACCCUGGUUGAGUCCUUGCUGACGCUUUUAAGGGCAGCGACGCAAGAGAGCGUGGUGGCGGAGUCGCUGAAGCUGCUUGUGACUGCGACAUCCAGCGAACAGUACGUCGCCUACCUCCAGCUCUGCGAGGUCGAGAUGCGCGUGCUGCGGUGGCCUCCGAUGCCGGUGGUGCAGCAGAUCAUCGACUCCGCUUGCGAGCGUCUGGCCCACGCUGCGGAGCACUAUGAUGAGGGGGAGGACAGCACGGAGACACUGCUUGAAGUUGUCUGCUCUCUUUUGCAGCUGAACGCAAGUGGCGGGGCCCCGUCGUGGCGCGGCGCCUUCGCCGCUGUAAAGGAUUUGGUCGCCUUCGAUCCAUACGCUUCAGGUGCAGAGGAGGACGCCUACGCCGCAGACGGUGGGUACGACGGGGAUUACGACGAGUACUACGAGUACGACAAUGGGACAUCAGAUUCUACAUGGAAGCUGCGCAUGUGGGCCGUUCGCGUCCUUCAGGUGCUGGUGGCGCAGCAUGACGACAAGGAGUUGGGCAUGCAGUCCCUGAACAUAGCGGCGACCACACUCCAGGACCGCGUUCAAGUAGUGCAUCUGGAGGCCGUGAAGCUGGUGCGCACGGUGGUCCGUCACUCCUACGUGCAUGACGCGGAUUGCGUCGCGUUGGUCACGAACCGCUGCCACGAACUCUGCAAGCUCGUCGGUAUCGAAGAUGAAAAGGCUACAGCGUCCCUGAUGAAGGCUCUCGAAGACAUCUUUGCCACCUUCGCACACGCUGUCGCUUUUUGUGAAAGCACCGUGCCUCUGCUGCUGAAUCAAGUCCGCGCCCACUUCUCCGCAGUUGCAGCCGAUGCGGCCGCCUUGGAGGGAUGCCGGAGCAUCGUGGCGAGUAUUAUCAGGGCAAGAGGAGAAGGUGCAUUGUUGAGCAGCGAGACCGUGAACCUUGCCAAGGAGUUGCCGGUGUUGUGCUUGUGCGGAGGCAAUUCGAGCGCCACUGCGGCCUGCAUCACCAAGGUCAGCGACACACUCGCGCAGGUGUACAGCGCCACGCACGACGUAUCUGUACCGGCUGUUCUGGGCAGCAACUAUGGUGCACUGCUUGAGAACGGUACCUUUCCUGCCGCAUGCCGAGCGGCGGCCGCGGAGAGUCUGGCAAACUGGGCUGCAGCCCAUGGUCUUUCGGCGCUGGAGCAGCCGGCAAUCGCCCUGUGGCGCGCGCUGGACUACGACGAAGUAAAACUGCCUGUUCUUCGUGCACUGAGCAUCAUGACAGGCAGCAGUGCAUCUUCAGCAUCUGUUCCGACGUCUGUGCUGGAGAAAGUGGCGGCAUUGGUCGAGUCAGAGUCAGCAAGUGUGCGGGCGGCCUCAGUCGAGGUGCUACUGCGCCGCCUUUCAGUUCCCAACACGCCACCGUUGACGGCGUCGUUUAUGCAGCACUUGACGACCCUGUUUGCACCGGGCCACCCCCUGUCACUGUCGUCGUGUGAACUAGCCGAGAUGUGCGCACUGGCGCUUCUUCUGGCACAGCUUUUCCGGCACCAAACAGAGCAGGUUGUCUCGUUUUACGAGACCUACUUUGCUGGAGUGUGGGAACACGUUGCUCGACUGGCUGAUGCAGUGCUGUGGAGCCGGAGCCUGAUGAACCCAGCACUAGACAGCCUCAUGGCGCUUGUGGGCACCGUGUAUGAGCACGAAUAUGCGUCGCGAUUGCCUAUCGAGGACGACGUGCGGCAGUUUCUGGUGUCGAACCAGUCACACAUCCCAUGCAUCUUCACGGUGGUGCGCUGCGUGGGUGCCGGCUCCCCGUCCGCCGUGAACGCCUUUUUGCACACUCUUUCUCCCCAACUUGUGGAAAGGGCGCACUUCCUUCUCUGCGUUGGCGAGGCUGGACAGGCAAGCGGGCUGAGUGCCGACUGGUCUGCGCUGGUUCUUGACAGUGUGCAGAGCAAGGAAGGCGAGCUGGUGCGGUCUUGCGGCGAGCGGUCGCUUUCCUUGUGCAUGCUGCACCCCGGCAACGCCGAGACUAUCUUGAUGCCGUGCGGUGAGAGGGCCGUGGACAGUGGCACCACUGGCCGGUACUACUAUGUGAAGUCCAUCAAAGAAGCUGCCACACUGGCCCUCUCGCGGUACAAUACCGCAUUUCACGACGCCGCGGUGAGCAAACGCUUGUUGUCUCUCUUCCUUCAGUCAUCCGCUAGCGCGGACCUGGUGGAGCUGUACGGGGCAUGUGCCGGGAUUCUCAGCAUGUUCAUGCUUGACGCAGAGCGGGGCGUGAUGAUCGCUGACACCUUGUUCAAGACGGAGGCGUCGCUGGAUACGCGUGUGACGUGCAUGGUGGCCCUGCGCUACUUCCUGAGCACGCUGGCGGAGCGAUCUGCAAGCAUUGAGAUCCACCGCCACAUUGUUUUGCGGGCACUUCUCCAGCUGCACCGGCCCACCGACACCAAGGAAAGCACGGCACCGUCGCUGCCACUGCGCUCUAUGGCAUUGCGACUUCUCACCACGGUGCUUCAGCACCGUCCACAUUGGCUUCUUUGCGAGGAGACACGCGUGACGAUUUUCCCGAAUUUGCUGACAGAGCUGCGCGAGGACACCAAGCUGCAGGGCACGUUUGAUCUGAGCGGGUACACGCAUCGCGUGGACAAGGGACUGGAGUGCCGCAAGCUGGCCUUUGAGUCGCUCUCUGCCGUUUUCCGGGCCGCUCGUCAGCACAACGUGGAUCUGAUAGAAUACUGUGAAGCAGAGGCGUCUGUGAUCAGCACGCUCAUUAUGGCCUGCAGCUCUCAUGGCAGCGGCGACCGCGAACCUUCGAUCAACGAUACCGCAAAGGAUCUGAUUGUGCGGUUUGUGGAGAGCAAGCCCCGAUUCGUCUUCACCCCAUCUCAGCUGGACUCCUUGGUCUCCAAGCUGUUGCAUGAUAUCCAGUGGGGCACCUCAUCAACAGACGCGCAGAAGACGACGCUAUUGUAUACCAUCAGGUGUGUUAUGAGGCUGAGCAGCCACCCCGUCUUUGCGUAUCACACGGGCUUCCAGGAGGUGGCCGAGGUUGCCCGACAGUCUGCACUGCUGUCGCAGAGCCUCAAACUGUGACGCGGAUGCGUUCUCGUCCUUCGGCGCGAAGUGAGGCACCCCAUCCAUCUAGAACCUGGACACUGGUCCCCCUAGAGCUGUGAGCUCGUAUGUGUGUAUGCAUCUGUGCGCGUGCCUGCCUUCGUGCUGUGGGCAUGGCAAGGACAAUGACGGUACCGGUCGUACAUCUGCAGCCUCUCGAGGGAACGUUUUGCGUAUGGGGCAUUUCCCCUCGGUCUCUUUCUAGAAGGUUGUCUGUUCUACGCAGUGUUUUCAUUGUAGCUCUGUGCUAGUUCUCGCUGGUGACUGGGAAGCACCUCCGUGAGCUGUACCGCAGCGCCUAGCACACCCCACACCGUAUGCGGUGUAUGCUCAGGCAGCUCCCUCUCCCCCCCCUCUCCUAUCCCCUGCCAGCGCCGGAGCCCCACUUCUCGUGGUGACAAGGGCCGAGAGUGCCUACGACGUGGCAAGGGGGGGGUCUGUGCGAUGCAUGGCCACACUGAUGUGUCGGCGGUGGGGCCCUGGGUGGCGUUGCGUCGGGGUGGCCCGCGACAGCGAACACGCUUGUGCCGUCCAUGUGGUAGGCAGGGUGUCGGCGUGGCUGGAACGCAUUGCACCCGGCCCCGACUGCCGUUGCUGGUGCGGGGGGAGGGGGGGCCUGUGUGCCACCCCUACGGGGAUGCACAGCAGGUGGGCGCCGGCGUGACGGGUGCGGGUGUGAGGCGACCUGCAGAGCGCGGCGGUGGUGUGGAGUAUGAGGCAGGGGCCGUGCUCGGAUGGCUGAGCCGGCGCGUUGCUGUAGGGCGUGUGUGUGCAGGGCUGCUUGGCACCACGCGAUGUGCCUGUGACAGGGCCGGGGCAGCGUGGGGUUUGGCACCGGUCAAGGUGGCGGGGAACGGACGCGUUGGAGAAACAAAAUCUCUGCUGGCUCGUUCUGCGCUCUCUUCUUUUUUUCCCUUUUACGUCCAACGCGUUUCUUGUGUGUGUGCGGUGCGCGUCGUGGCGGUCUGCUCUGCUGCCUUCCUCUCCCUUCCUCACGCGUCUGGCGCUCGGCUUUGUGUGCCGUUUCAAAGGAGACGAACGAAACGGAGCCACGCCUUGCCGUUUUUCCCCUUUGGCUAGCGGUCCCGCAGCAAGGGCCGAUGUGCAGGCGUUUCGUCGUCUAGACGUUCAGAAGCAUACUUCGAAGUUUUACUGGCGACUGCCAGUGGGCAGAAGCCAUUGGCAAUUUAUACUUGGAGUGCGUGCCGUACUCUUGGAGUAUUACUGGGCUCCUUGCUGCGCCUUCUAUUCGAACUUGGAUGUCGCCUGCGCUUCAAGCACUGGCGAAGAGGUCACUGAUUUUUGAGAUCACUAACCGCAUGCAAACACGGCCGAUCUUCAUGAUCCCGCCGCACUCUUCUUUCCGAGUCUCUUUAUCCUCUUGUGUUUUCCGAUUUCCUUAUAUAUAACUGCCGCUGAUCCCCAUGUCGGCUUGACUCGCACUGAAAAAAAAAG
rnacentral:misc_RNA from 1 species